GUGAAUCAUCGAAUCUUUGAACGCACAUUGCACUCCUUGGUAUUCCGGAGAGUAUGCCUAUUUGAGGGUCAUCUGAAACCAUAUAAACUCCAAGAUUUUUCGCAAUUUAAAAUGGGUUGCCCACUUUCUGUGGUCGCCUAAAUUCCAAGACAAGCUCAUCUCCUCUCGUUGCGUGCUACUCCCAGUUACCACGUGACGUA
rnacentral:misc_RNA from 1 species